GCCGGGGUGGCUCAGUGGUUGAGCAUCCAGCUGGGAACCAGGAGGCCUCGGUUCGAUUCCCGGUCAGGGCA
rfam:Myotis brandtii contig287231, whole genome shotgun sequence.